rnacentral:lncRNA from 1 species
AUGGGCAUGGCGGCGGAGCUCCUUCUGGGGGCGAAACGCAGCGGCGCCGACGGGGGCGGGGGCGGCAGGGACGAAGACUGUGUAGGCGGCGUAGCUCGCGAAGAGGAGGAGGGCGAGGAGGGCGAUGAGUACCCCUCCGCUCCAUCUCUUCAUGCUCUUCCUCCCCCUCCGCCGCCGCAGUCGCCGCCGCCGCCUGCCGACGGAGAGAUCGCCCUCUCGACCCAAGGAGGCCACAUCGGGGUAAAAGAGGUAUUUUUUAUUAAAUGAAACACCUCUUUUAAAUAAUUUCGGCGCACUGCAUCCCUCCCGCUGACCAAGAUCAAAUGGGGGUUCAUCUUCGGAACGGCCGUCUUAUCAGAGUCAACCCUUCUAUAUGUAGCAUAUAGACGCUGCGGCCGCCAUUUUCUCAGCACUUGCCAUGGAAACGAUCUGGCGGCGCCUAUGAAGGCUUUCAUCCGAGUGGAAGUAAAGACCCAUCAUGUAUUUCCAGUUAAAUAUUUUAGGGUGGAUCAUCGUUGACUAAGUUGUUCGGAUGAUCUACCGAUAUCCAGGCCUCGGUCAACUCACCUGCUUGGUCUUCUUUCUCUUUGCUCCGAUGCCUUUCCCUUCAUCAUUCCAUUCAACGAGAAGGUUUCCCGCCUAACAAUGCAUACCAGAACAGCAAAGAGUUGACCAGAGGGGGGGGGCAGGCGUUGACGUCCCAUGAGGUCAGCGGGGUGGACUCGCUCGGGUUGACAAGUAAACGGUCAGCGUAUCUCAUUUUUCCCAUAAUAGGCGCAAG